GGCUCAUUAAAUCAGUUAUCGUUUAUUUGAUAGUACCUUACUACUUGGAUAACCGUGGUAAUUCUAGAGCUAAUACAUGCUGAAAACCCCAACUUCGGGAGGGGUGUAUUUAUUAGAUAAAAAACCAACGCCCUUCGGGGCUUCUUGGUGAUUCAUGAUAACUUUACGGAUCGCAUGGCCUUGCGCCGGCGACGGUUCAUUCAAAUUUCUGCCCUAUCAACUUUCGAUGGUAAGGUAUUGGCUUACCAUGGUUUCAACGGGUAACGGGGAAUUAGGGUUCGAUUCCGGAGAGGGAGCCUGAGAAACGGCUACCACAUCCAAGGAAGGCAGCAGGCGCGCAAAUUACCCAAUCCCGACACGGGGAGGUAGUGACAAUAAAUACUGAUACAGGGCUCUUUUGGGUCUUGUAAUUGGAAUGAGUACAAUUUAAACCUCUUAACGAGGAACAAUUGGAGGGCAAGUCUGGUGCCAGCAGCCGCGGUAAUUCCAGCUCCAAUAGCGUAUAUUAAAGUUGUUGCAGUUAAAAAGCUCGUAGUUGAAACUUGGGUCUGGCUGGCAGGUCCGCCUCACCGCGUGUACUUGUCCGGCCGGGCCUUCCUUCUGGAGAACCUCAUGCCCUUCACUGGGCGUGUUGGGGACCAGGACUUUUACUUUGAAAAAAUUAGAGUGUUCAAAGCAGGCCUUUGCUCGAAUACGUUAGCAUGGAAUAAUAGAAUAGGACGUGCGGUCCUAUUUUGUUGGUUUCUAGGACCGCCGUAAUGAUUAAUAGGGACAGUCGGGGGCAUCAGUAUUCAAUUGUCAGAGGUGAAAUUCUUGGAUUUAUUGAAGACUAACUACUGCGAAAGCAUUUGCCAAGGAUGUUUUCAUUAAUCAGUGAACGAAAGUUAGGGGAUCGAAGACGAUCAGAUACCGUCGUAGUCUUAACCGUAAACUAUGCCGACUAGGGAUCGGGCGAUGUUCUUUUUCUGACUCGCUCGGCACCUUACGAGAAAUCAAA
rnacentral:rRNA from 1 species